rnacentral:rRNA from 1 species
GCUUUAUUAAAUUUUUAUUAGUAAUUUUAUUAGAUAUUUUAUAUAAAUAAAACUUUAAUUUUAUUGGGGAGAUAAGAAAAUAAAAAUCUUUUCUUUUUAAAACUAAGAUAAAAGAUUAUAUGAUCCUUUAUUAAAGAUUACAAGAUUAAGU